UAAAAUCUUUAGAAACGAAGUGUACCUGUGCCCGAACUCGAACUCGUUGUUUGCUUAGCAAAUAUCAACAAAACACAUGACAUCAGUUCACGAAAAGCAAAUACCGGUGUGCAAAUCUAGCGUUUAUGUGGUAACAACAGCACAGAACAAGAUUAAAGAUGACUCUCAGCAGGGUAGCAACGCUGGGCCCUCAGAUAACGAUAGACGGUGGAAUAUACACGCUAUACUUUAAGAAAGAAACACUUCGGGUAUCUCGAUGCCAAUUACGUUUGCGUAAUCAACUUGUUUCAAUCACGAACCGAUGCUAAGUUACUGAAUUAGUCUUGAGAAGGUCAUCGCUCAAGUACAUCCAAGAGUAAAACACACACUAAGCCUCACUUAGGAGCACCAAGGUGAUAUUCGACAUCUCCAGCACCUUCUCUGAAAAUGUCCUGCCACGAUAGACUCUUUUACAGUGUACUUCGCUGCCAGUUUUCACUUCCGCGGCUGCUGAAAAAUUCAAGGAAGAUGAAGAAGCUUACGAGUCGCAACGAAUCUCAGCAGGAUUUGUAAGCUUAAAAGUUUAGACAUCAUUGGCGUCUAAAUUCGAGGCAAAAUGUUCGUGAUCCGAUAAAGUGAUACAUGGAAUAGCCAAGCAAGAAGAGGAAAGUGCCCGCUAACUGUAUAAUGCUUGACCAGUGGCAAAAGAAAAACGAAGGAGUUUGAUUUAUAGAUAAAUACCAGGAGAACGAAAAGUCAAGCGAUCCUUUUUACUAGUCCCUCAUAUCAUCCCUCUUCCCAGCACCGCAAACACAACAAGACUCAGUCGAUCGCGGCUCGGAUUAGAGAUUCACGAAGACGUCCAUAGGCAUUUUAAUACCCAACUGGAUAUAGAUCAUCCGCGGGUUGUCAUUUAACUCAUCUCUAUCAA